CACGCCCAGACCGAGUAGGAAACGAAAGCAGUGGCAAAAAAGUAAAUAAGGAACACUUGACCUUCCUUUAUUGGUAAAUUUACACGCCGACAGCGAUUGACGGACGCUGCUUGCAUGGCAAGGACGGCGCAGCCUUGUUUCAUGUCAAUCGCUUAUGUACAUAGCGGCGCAAAAUAUUGUAUGCGGAGUGUUUAAUUUUAUGACAAGUGAA
rnacentral:ncRNA from 12 species